ACCUGAUGAUGUGGGCAUUUACGGAGCAGGUCCCUAAAACGUUCCCAAGUCUCGAAGAAAAGUUCCCUAUUCGUUUGUGUGAAACUUGUGAUUGCCCUUCGCAGCU